GAUGAACGCUGGCGGCGUGCCUAAUACAUGCAAGUCGAGCGAACAGACGAGGAGCUUGCUCCUCUGACGUUAGCGGCGGACGGGUGAGUAACACGUGGAUAACCUACCUAUAAGACUGGGAUAACUUCGGGAAACCGGAGCUAAUACCGGAUAAUAUAUUGAACCGCAUGGUUCAAUAGUGAAAGACGGUUUUGCUGUCACUUAUAGAUGGCUCCGCACCACAUUAGCUAGUUGGUAAGGUAACGGCUUACCAAGGCAACGAUGCGUAGCCGACCUGAGAGGGUGAUCGGCCACACUGGAACUGAGACACGGUCCAGACUCCUACGGAAGGCAGCAGUAGGGAAUCUUCCGCAAUGGGCGAAAGCCUGACGGAGCAACGCCGCGUGAGUGAUGAAGGUCUUCGGAUCGUAAAACUCUGUUAUUAGGGAAGAACAAAUGUGUAAGUAACUAUGCACGUCUUGACGGUACCUAAUCAGAAAGCCACGGCUAACUACGUG
rnacentral:rRNA from 1 species